rnacentral:rRNA from 1 species
UACGUAGGGUGCAAGCGUUGUCCGGAAUUAUUGGGCGUAAAGAGCUCGUAGGCGGCUCGUCGCGUCGGCUGUGAAAACUCAGGGCUUAACCCUGAGCCUGCUUCCGAUACGGGCAGACUAGAGGUAUGCAGGGGGAGAACGGAAUUCCUGGUGUAGCGGUGAAAUGCGCAGAUAUCAGGAGGAACACCGGUGGCGAAGGCGGUUCUCUGGGCAUUACCUGACGCUGAGGAGCGAAAGUGUGGGGAGCGAACAGG